rnacentral:rRNA from 1 species
UACGUAGGGUGCAAGCGUUGUCCGGAAUUAUUGGGCGUAAAGAGCUCGUAGGCGGUUUGUCGCGUCUGCUGUGAAAACCCGAGGCUCAACCUCGGGCCUGCAGUGGGUACGGGCAGACUAGAGUGCGGUAGGGGAGAUUGGAAUUCCUGGUGUAGCGGUGGAAUGCGCAGAUAUCAGGAGGAACACCAAUGGCGAAGGCGGUUCUCUGGGCCUUACCUGACGCUGAGGAGCGAAAGCGUGGGGGAGCGAAACAGG